UACGGAGGGUGCAAGCGUUAUCCGGAUUCACUGGGUUUAAAGGGUGCGUAGGUGGGCCUGUAAGUCAGCGGUGAAAUCUCCGGGCUUAACCCGGAAACUGCCAUUGAUACUAUAGGUCUUGAAUUAUCUGGAGGUAAGCGGAAUAUGUCAUGUAGCGGUGAAAUGCUUAGAUAUGACAUAGAACACCAAUUGCGAAGGCAGCUUACUACGGAUAUAUUGACACUGAGGCACGAAAGCGUGGGGAUCAAACAGGA
rnacentral:rRNA from 1 species